GGGGAUAACAGGCUGAUACCGCCCAAGAGUUCAUAUCGACGGCGGUGUUUGGCACCUCGAUGUCGGCUCAUCACAUCCUGGGGCUGAAGUAGGUCCCAAGGGUAUGGCUGUUCGCCAUUUAAAGUGGUACGCGAGCUGGGUUUAGAACGUCGUGAGACAGUUCGGUCCCUAUCUGCCGUGGGCGAUGGAGAACUGAGGGGGGCUGCUCCUAGUACGAGAGGACCGGAGUGGACGCAUCACUGGUGUUCGGGUUGUCAUGCCAAUGGCACUGCCCGGUAGCUAAAUGCGGAAGAGAUAAGUGCUGAAAGCAUCUAAGCACGAAACUUGCCCCGAGAUGAGUUCUCCCUGACCCUUUAAGGGUCCUGAAGGAACGUUGAAGACGACGACGUUGAUAGGCCGGGUGUGUAAGCGCAGCGAUGCGUUGAGCUAACCGGUACUAAUGAACCGUGAGGCUUAACCUUACAACGCCGAAG
rnacentral:rRNA from 1 species